CGUUAAGAAGCUAAAAUGGGUAUAGCAUUAGCCUUUUAAGCUAAGGAUUGGUGACUCCCAACCACCCCUAACGA
rnacentral:tRNA from 1 species